ensembl:snRNA U6 U6 spliceosomal RNA
GUGCUUGCUUCAGCAGCACAUAUACUAAAACUGGAAUGAUACAGAGAUUAGCAUGACCCCUGCGCAAGGAUGACAUGCAAAUUCAUGAAGCGUUCCAUUAAAAA